CUGGGCUCUAAAUAAGCAGAAAUGUGACAGAUCAGCAUUUUUCUUUAGGGACUCUUUGAUUUUAACUAAUGACUCAGCCUCAGGUCCAGAUGUCAGAUAUUUAUUUUGUAGUUGUGGUCUACACAGCAGUGAGAAAUGAAGACGUCAGUUAUGGACAAACAAGCAUGAGAACAAGGAGGCCCAGACUUUAAACCAGAGCCAGACGUCGUCUA